CCCUAGCCGCGAUAGCAGAGGAAAUCCUUUUAUGCCGGGGUUCGGCACAAAAGAUUGCUUCGCCAGUUCGCUAAAGC
rnacentral:sRNA from 1 species